rnacentral:lncRNA from 1 species
UUUGAUCAAGUGUGAAUAGUUUGAUGAGUAUGAGGAUGUCUCUUGUUAAAUUUGCUUUCUUUUUUGUGUUUAUUAUUGCAGCAGGUUAGAAUUUCUUUUUCUUCAAAUUUCCACACUGUGUUUUAUACCUUCAAAUUUUCAUGGAUUAUAUUAUAUUUUUUAUAUAUUGUUUUUAUGUUCAUGUAUUAUUUGUGUGAACACAGAUAUAUCGAAAGAAUCAGAUGCAUUUUGCGUUAUCCAUUUUCCUUGUAACACAGACGCAGACUGUGUAAAACUUUGUGGUGCCGGUUGGAAAUGUGUUGGUAAAUCCUGUGAACAUCUCAACCAUUCGAAAAAACCUCAAAUCAAGCAUCAAAAGAUUAAGAACACACCUCAACUUAUUAUGUAAUAAAAAUGUGCGCAUUAGUAAUA